AAUGCCUUUCUCAACUCUGACAAAGUCUGAAAACACAACAGCAUGAAAGAGAGGAACAGGAAAAAGCAGGACGACAUGCAGAGAAAAGGGUGCAAAAAGAGAAACAAGCACUGAGGGAUGAGCCGGUCUGAGAAAGGCCUGGAAACAAGACAAGAGCAAAGCUUAUGCAGCUGAUUUAUCUUCACUGAGGUCAAACCUAAACUCCAAACCCAGUUUCCUCCACAACUCUAGUGGUUAUGGCAGAUCAAUUCAUAAAAAAAGAAGUGGAGGAAGGAAGUGAUGAAAUGAGUGUCUGUACGCCCUCCACCCCUCCGUCCCAUCAACUGUAAACACAAUGUGGGUCACCAACAGGAGAUACCCACAUCAGAAUGGAAAGGCCACAAUAGAACUUGGACCUCAGGCCAGAGGACAAUUUUAUUUUACAGAGAUAUUCUUUAAUAGCUCAGGAGACUUAAAAGAAACUUAACAGAGCUCCAAUAAGUAUAAACACUGUAUAACCUGGAUACAUGCAUUUGUUACCUUAGAGAUAUUUCUGCCUGAUUCUUAAAUAAUUCCAUUGGUGUAACCUAAUGUAUUCAGGUUGC